GAAAGAAGAAAGAAAGAAAGAAGAAAAAGAAAGAAAGAAAGAAAAGAAAAAGAAAGAAAGCCUGCGUUUGGAAAUAUUGACUACCAGAAUGAAGCCCUCACUAUAUAUCAGAAUAAUUUCACUGGAAGAUAAAGACAGAAUAGUGCCAGCCUCUGCACUUGCCUGGUUUUAUGAUCCAAAGACUGGUUUAGGAGUAUCUCAUUGGUGAAGCAGAAAGUCACUUGCCUGUACUGUAGCUGCAAGGGAGGCUGAGAAACCUUGGUCCAAUGGCUGGUAUAUUAAAAAGAGAAGACAGGGAGAUUAUAAGCACAAGACAGAAGGCCGUGUGAAGCUGGAGGCAGAGACUGGAGUUAUGCUGCCAUAAACCAAGAAAUGCUGGAAGCUACCAGCAGCUGGAAGAGGCCAGGAUUCUC